GAUGAACGCUGGCGGCGUGCCUAAUACAUGCAAGUCGAGCGAACGGACGAGAAGCUUGCUUCUCUGAUGUUAGCGGCGGACGGGUGAGUAACACGUGGAUAACCUACCUAUAAGACUGGGAUAACUUCGGGAAACCGUAGCUAAUACCGGAUAAUAUUUUGAACCGCAUGGUUCAAAAGUGAAAGACGGUCUUGCUGUCACUUAUAGAUGGAUCCGCGCUGCAUUAGCUAGUUGGUAAGGUAACGGCUUACCAAGGCAACGAUGCAUAGCCGACCUGAGGGGGGGAUCGGCCACACUGGAACUGAGACACGGUCCAGACCCCUACGGGAGGCAGCAGUAGGGAAUCUUCCGAAAUGGGCGAAAGCCUGACGGAGAAACGCCGCGGGAGUGAUGAAGGUCUUCGGAUCGUAAAACUCUGUUAUUAGGGAAGAACAUAUGUGUAAGUAACUGUGCACAUCUGGACGGUACCUAAUCAGAAAGCCACGGCUAACUACGU
rnacentral:rRNA from 1 species